rnacentral:rRNA from 1 species
GCCUAACACAUGCAAGUCGAACGAGCGAGAGAGAGCUUGCUUUCUCGAGCGAGUGGCGAACGGGUGAGUAACGCGUGAGGAACCUGCCUCAAAGAGGGGGGGCAACAGUUGGAAACGACUGCUAAUACCGCAUAAGCCCACGGCUCGGCAUCGAGCAGAGGGAAAAGGAGCAAUCCGCUUUGAGAUGGCCUCGCGUCCGAUUAGCUGGUUGGUGAGGUAAUGGCCCACCAAGGCGACGAUCGGUAGCCGGACUGAGAGGUUGAACGGCCACAUUGGGACUGAGACACGGCCCAGACUCCUACGGGAGGCAGCAGUGGGGAAUAUUGCACAAUGGGGGAAACCCUGAUGCAGCGACGCCGCGUGGAGGAAGAAGGUCUUCGGAUUGUAAACUCCUGUUGUUGGGGAAGAUAAUGACGGUACCCAACAAGGAAGUGACGGCUAAUUACGUG